CGCGCCGCCGCCGCUGCUCGUCUCCGCCGUUCUCCGCCGUAUCUGCCACCAUGGGUCGCAUGCACAGCCGCGGGAAGGGGAUCUCCUCCUCCGCCCUCCCCUACAAGCGCACUCCGCCCAGCUGGCUCAAGAUCUCCGCCCAGGAAGUUGACGAGAGCAUCUGUAAGUUCGCAAAGAAAGGCCUCACCCCUUCCCAGAUCGGCGUGAUUCUCCGUGAUUCUCACGGCAUCGCCCAGGUGAAGAGUGUCACCGGAAGCAAGAUACUCCGAAUCCUUAAAGCUCACGGACUGGCCCCGGAGAUUCCCGAGGAUCUGUAUCACUUGAUCAAGAAGGCGGUGGCGAUCCGGAAGCAUCUGGAGAGGAACAGGAAGGAUAAG
rnacentral:misc_RNA from 1 species